GUCUGGGCGUUGUUUUUGCUAUAUACGGGCCUUUCCAACCACGUGGCAUACGCUAGAUGACUCAAAGGUAAUUGGGUUGCUAAAGAGGUUAUUUUUGGGUUUCCUGGUUAUGAUUUGGAGUUGGAUUCCUCUGAGAUUUUGCUUCUCAAAGAGGAUGAGUCUAAGAAGUAGCAAAGAAAUAAAAUGAAAUUGAGACUCUAUCAUUGGAGGGAGAAUGUACGAUGGCUAAUUAUAAGACAAUACGUGCAGAACAUUUCCAGCACACAUUACACAUUCUACUUUUGUAACACCCACCAUUUUCCGAUGUCAGAAGUUUUUCACUGAUAAAAUAUUUUAGCAAAAUUCAAGAUUCCACAGGUAAGGGAAUGGUGGUGGAAAGU
rnacentral:misc_RNA from 1 species